UGGGGAAUCUUGCGCAAUGGCCGAAAGGCUGACGCAGCGACGCCGCGUGUGGGAGGACGCCUUUCGGGGUGUAAACCACUGUUGCCCGGGACGAACACGGCUAUUCGUAGCCGCUGACGGUACCGGGUGAGGAAGCACCGGCUAACUCCGUGCCAGCAGCCGCGGUAAUACGGAGGGUGCGAGCGUUGUCCGGAAUCAUUGGGCGUAAAGGGCGCGUAGGUGGCCCGGUCAGCGUGCGGUGAAAGCUCGGGGCUCAACCCCGAGUCGGCCGUGCGAACUGCUGGGCUCGAGCACUGUAGAGGCAGGCGGAAUUCCGGGUGUAGCGGUGGAAUGCGUAGAGAUCCGGAAGAACACCGGUGGCGAAGGCGGCCUGCUGGGCAGUAGCUGACACUGAGGCGCGACAGCGUGGGGGGAGCAAACAGGAUUAGAUACCC
rnacentral:rRNA from 1 species